rnacentral:rRNA from 1 species
AUUGAACGCUGGCGGCAUGCUUUACACAUGCAAGUCGAACGGUAACAGGCCUUCGGGUGCUGACGAGUGGCGAACGGGUGAGUAAUGCAUCGGAACGUGCCCAGUGGCGGGGGAUAACGCAGCGAAAGCUGUGCUAAUACCGCAUGUGAUCUGAGGAUGAAAGCGGGGGACCGGGCAGCAAUGUUUGGCCUCGCGCCUUUGGAGCGGCCGAUGUCAGAUGAGGUAGUUGGUGGGGUAAAGGCCUACCAAGGCUACGAUCUGUAGCUGGUAUGAGGGCACGACUAGACAGACUGUGAGUGAGACAGGGCCGACACUCCUAGGCUGGGAAGCAGUGGGGAAUUUUGGGCAAGGGGGGAGAGCCUAAUACAGGAAUGCGGCGGGCGGGAAGAAGGACUUAGGGUGGGAAACCGAUGUAGUACGGAGCGAAGUGGAGCUGUUUAAUCCGUGAUGCUGAUGACGGUACCGGAAGAAUAAGCACCGGCUAACUCCGUG